GGGGCGGUAGCUCAGUUGGUAGAGCACCACGUUCGCAACGUGGGCGUCGGCGGUUCGACUCCGCUUCGCUCCACCA
rnacentral:tRNA from 1 species